rnacentral:rRNA from 1 species
AAGCGCGCGUAGGCGGUUUGUUAAGUCAGAUGUGAAAUCCCCGGGCUCAACCUGGGAAUGGCAUUUGAGACUGGCAGGCUAGAGUAUGGUAGAGGUGAGUGGAAUUUCAGGUGUAGCGGUGAAAUGCGUAGAGAUCUGAAGGAACAUCAGUGGCGAAGGCGACUCACUGGGCCAUUACUGACGCUGAGGUGCGAAAGCGUGGGUAGCAAACAGGAUUAGAUACCCUGGUAGUCCACGCCCUAAACGAUGUCAACUAGGUGUAUGGAGAAAAUAUUCUUUGUGUAUCGAAGCUAACGCGAUAAGUUGACCGCCUGGGGAGUACGGUCGCAAGACUAAAACUCAAAUGAAUUGACGGGGGCCCGCACAAGCGGUGGAGCAUGUGGUUUAAUUCGAUGCAACGCGAAGAACCUUACCUGGCCUUGACAUGUACGGAAGACUGCAGAGAUGCGGUUGUGCCUUCGGGAACCGUAACACAGGUGCUGCAUGGCUG